CCUACGGGGGGCUGCAGUGGGGAAUAUUGGACAAUGGGGGGAACCCUGAUCCAGCCAUGCCGCGUGUGUGAAGAAGGCCCUCGGGUUGUAAAGCACUUUCAGUGAGGAAGAACGCCUGGUGGUUAAUACCCAUCAGGAAAGACAUCACUCACAGAAGAAGCACCGGCUAACUCCGUGCCAGCAGCCGCGGUAAUACGGAGGGUGCGAGCGUUAAUCGGAAUUACUGGGCGUAAAGCGCGCGUAGGUGGCUUGAUAAGCCGGUUGUGAAAGCCCCGGGCUCAACCUGGGAACGGCAUCCGGAACUGUCAAGCUAGAGUGCAGGAGAGGAAGGUAGAACUCCCGGUGGAGCGGUGAAAUGCGUAGAGAUCGGGAGGAAUACCAGUGGCGAAGGCGGCCUUCUGGACUGACACUGACACUGAGGUGCGAAAGCGUGGGUAGCAAACAGGAUUAGAUACCCUAGUAGUC
rnacentral:rRNA from 1 species